rnacentral:rRNA from 2 species
UACGAAGGGGGCUAGCGUUGCUCGGAAUCACUGGGCGUAAAGGGCGCGUAGGCGGCCAUUCAAGUCGGGGGUGAAAGCCUGUGGCUCAACCACAGAAUUGCCUUCGAUACUGUUUGGCUUGAGUAUGGUAGAGGUCGGUGGAACUGCGAGUGUAGAGGUGAAAUUCGUAGAUAUUCGCAAGAACACCAGUGGCGAAGGCGGCCGACUGGACCAUUACUGACGCUGAGGCGCGAAAGCGUGGGGAGCAAACAGG